rnacentral:rRNA from 1 species
CACGUAGUUAGCCGGUGCUUAUUCUUACGGUACCGUCAUCAGCCCCAGGUAUUAGCCAGAGCCUUUUCGUUCCGUACAAAAGCAGUUUACAACCCGAAGGCCUUCAUCCUGCACGCGGCAUUGCUGGAUCAGGCUUGCGCCCAUUGUCCAAAAUUCCCCACUGCUGCCUCCCGUAGGAGUCUGGGCCGUGUCUCAGUCCCAGUGUGGCUGGUCGUCCUCUCAGACCAGCUACAGAUCGUCGGCUUGGUAGGCCUUUACCCCACCAACUACCUAAUCUGACAUCGGCCGCUCCAAUCGCGCGAGGCCCGAAGGUCCCCCGCUUUCAUCCAUAGAUCGUAUGCGGUAUUAGCGUAGCUUUCGCUACGUUAUCCCCCACGACUGGGCACGUUCCGAUGCAUUACUCACCCGUUCGCCACUCGCCACCAGGGUUGCCCCCGUGCUGCCGUUCGACUUGCAUGUGUAAGGCAUGCCGCCAGCGUUCAAUCUGAGCCAGGAUCAAA